rnacentral:rRNA from 1 species
AAACGACUCUCGGCAACGGAUAUCUCGGCUCUCGCAUCGAUGAAGAACGUAGCGAAAUGCGAUACUUGGUGUGAAUUGCAGAAUCCCGUGAACCAUCGAGUUUUUGAACGCAAGUUGCGCCCGAAGCCAUUAGGUCGAGGMACGUCUGCCUGGGCGUCACG